AUGACAUAUAAUAUAAAGAAGCUUUGGAGGGAGUCGAGUGUAGACAGGGCCAAACUGUUCUCGCCAGGGCAUAUUGAUGGUUUCUCUUGCGAGUUUGUGCGGACCUAUCAUUGCCGGGAGGAUGGUGUAAUUGAAAUGUUGGAUUACAGCCAUGAAGACAUUCAUGACAUUAGGAAGACUUUGCUGUAUACUUGCGCAACUAGCGAUGUGUUUGAUGUUGACUCCUGGGGUGAGUGGCUGGAUCUUGGUGAGCAUGACUACAGGUUCUUUGGCAGCCAGUUCUUGGAGCUCGAGCGCGUAGCUAUUGAUCUUAGCCAGGGGCGUUCUCCUGAAAAGACAAGAUAUGGUGUUAUGAAGGGGCGGUUGGGAGCUCUGAAAGGUUCUACAGCAGCUUGUGCAGAGAGCCCCACUACACCCAAGAAUCCCAUUGUGGAAUUGAUAGACAAUGAUGAUGAUGUGUUUGACAAUAUUGCUGGCAUGGGAAGAGUCACGAGGAGCAGUGCUGCCAAAGGUUUAUCUCCCCUUGCUGGAAUAGUGGCUCGUAGAGCUGGUAGUGCUAGGAAGGAUCCUGCUUUGGAUUCUGGCAAUGUUCAGCUUCACCCUCAUAAAUUCCCUCACCUGGACAAGGCUCGCAAGUUGUAUAAUCUGUUGCUUAGUGAUGAAUGGCGUGAGAAGUAUGCCGAGAAUACAUUCUCAAUGAUACCUCAGCCUGGUGAUAACGUAACUAGCUUCACUGGAAAACGCAUCUGGGAAGUAUUUGCACCUGGGCAAAUGAUGGAGGGUGAUGUAAUGGACUUCCUCAUUGAUGAUUGGAAGCAAGAUCCCAAGAGAAAUGCUGAUUUCGCAUCUGGAAAAAGGGUAUUGCUGAGUCCAUAUUUCAUCACGGUUGUGCUUGACUGUACGUUUUACGGUGAUGAAAAUAAAGUGUUUAAUGUGGAGAGUGCAGCAAGAGAUUUCAAGAGCUAUGUUGAAGAUAAGGAAGACUUGCUUAGUGCCGACCUUAUCAUGAUGCCUCUAUUCAAGCCUAUGAUUUUAGCCAAGGAUAAGAAAGUGAACCACUUUUCCUUAUAUGUCAUGAAUCGGUACCGAAGUAGUGUUGACAUCCUUGACUCUUUACCUUAUCUGAAGAACCACCAUCCUUCAAAGAACACCUAUCAUAAAGACCGCGAGAAGAUUUACAAUGUGAGCAAGCAGCCCAAAUGGGAGUUUUUUUGCAAAGAAACCAAUGUUUGUCAAGGUUGCACUACAAGGGCCGAAUGA
rnacentral:rRNA from 1 species